rnacentral:rRNA from 1 species
GACAGAGGGGGCAAGCGUUGCUCGGAAUUACUGGGCGUAAAGGGCGCGUAGGCGGAAUGGCAAGUCGGUCGUGAAAUCCUUCGGCUCAACCGAAGAACGUCGAUCGAAACUGCCGUUCUUGAGGAUUGCAGAGGAGACUGGAAUUCCCGGUGUGGCGGUGAAAUGUGUAGAGAUCGGGAGGAACACCGGUGGCGAAGGCGGGUCUCUGGGCAAUUCCUGACGCUGAGGCGCGAAAGCGUGGGGAGCAAACGGG